rnacentral:rRNA from 1 species
GGCGAACGGGUGAGUAACACGUGGGUAACCUGCCUCCAAGUCGGGCACAACANCGCGAAAGCGCUGCUAAUUCCCGAUAUACUGGCACCGCACAAGUGAGUGCCAGGAAAGCUCUGGCGCUUGGAGAUGGGCCCGCGGCCGAUUAGCUUGUUGGUGGGGUAACGGCCUACCAAGGCGACGAUCGGUAGCCGACCUGAGAGGGUGACCGGCCACACUGGGACUGAGACAUGGUCCAGACUCCUACGGGAGUUAGCAUCAGGGAAUCUUGCGCAAUGGGCGAAAGCCUGACGCAGCGACGCCGCGUGGGUGAUGAAGGUCUGCGGAUCGUAAAGCCCUGUCAGGAGGGACGAAGUUCUGACUGUACCUCCAGAGGAAGCCCCGGCUAACUCCGUGCCAGCAGCCGCGGUAACACGGAGGGGGCCAGCGUUGUCCGGAAUUACUGGGCGUAAAGCGCGCGUAGGCGGUCUA